GACGAACGCUGGCGGCGUGCUUAACACAUGCCAGUCGAACGGAAAGGCCCUGCUUUUGUGGGGUGCUCGAGUGGCGAACGGGUGAGUAACACGUGAGUAACCUGCCCUUGACUGUGGGAUAACUUCAGGAAACUGGGGCUAAUACCGGAUAGGAGCUCCUGCUGCAUGGUGGGGGUUGGAAAGUUUCGGCGGUUGGGGAUGGACUCGCGGCUUAUCAGCUUGUUGGUGGGGUAGUGGCUUACCAAGGGUUUGACGGGUAGCCGGCCUGAGGGGGUGACCGGCCACAUUGGGACUGAGAUACGGCCCAGACUCCUACGGGAGGCAGCAGUGGGGAAUAUUGCACAAUGGGCGGAAGCCUGAUGCAGCAACGCCGCGUGCGGGAUGACGGCCUUCGGGUUGUAAACCGCUUUCGCCUGUGACGAAGCGUGAGUGACGGUAAUGGGUAAAGAAGCACCGGCUAACUACGUG
rnacentral:rRNA from 1 species